rnacentral:rRNA from 1 species
CAAGAGUUUGAUCCUGGCUCAGGACGAACGCUGGCGGCGUGCCUAAUACAUGCAAGUCGAGCGAGCUUGCCUAGAUGAUUUUAGUGCUUGCACUAAAUGAAACUAGAUACAAGCGAGCGGCGGACGGGUGAGUAACACGUGGGUAACCUGCCCAAGAGACUGGGAUAACACCUGGAAACAGAUGCUAAUACCGGAUAACAACACUAGACGCAUGUCUAGAGUUUGAAAGAUGGUUCUGCUAUCACUCUUGGAUGGACCUGCGGUGCAUUAGCUAGUUGGUAAGGUAACGGCUUACCAAGGCAAUGAUGCAUAGCCGAGUUGAGAGACUGAUCGGCCACAUUGGGACUGAGACACGGCCCAAACUCCUACGGGAGGCAGCAGUAGGGAAUCUUCCACAAUGGACGAAAGUCUGAUGGAGCAACGCCGCGUGAGUGAAGAAGGGUUUCGGCUCGUAAAGCUCUGUUGGUAGUGAAGAAAGAUAGAGGUAGUAACUGGCCUUUAUUUGACGGUAAUUACUUAGAAAGUCACGGCUAACUACGUGCCAGCAGCCGCGGUAAGAGCUAGG